GAGGGUAGAGCUCAAGUGGUAGAGCUCAUGCUUAGCAUGCAUGAGGUCCUGGGUUCAAUCCCCAGUGCCUCCA
rnacentral:tRNA from 1 species